AGUGAACGCUGGCGGUAGGCCUAACACAUGCAAGUCGAACGGCAGCACAGUAAGAGCUUGCUCUUACGGGUGGCGAGUGGCGGACGGGUGAGGAAUACAUCGGAAUCUACUUUUUCGUGGGGGAUAACGUAGGGAAACUUACGCUAAUACCGCAUACGACCUACGGGGGAAAGCAGGGGAUCUUCGGACCUUGCGCGAUUGAAUGAGCCGAUGUCGGAUUAGCUAGUUGGCGGGGUAAAGGCCCACCAAGGCGACGAUCCGUAGCUGGUCUGAGAGGAUGAUCAGCCACACUGCAACUGAGCCACGGUCCAGACUCCUACGGGAGGCAGCAGUGGGGAAUAUUGGACAAUGGGCGCAAGCCUGAUCCAGCCAUACCGCGUGGGUGAAGAAGGCCUUCGGGUUUUAAAGCCCUUUUGUUGGGAAAGAAGAGCAGCAGGUUAAUCCCCCGCUGUUCUGACGGUACCCAAAGAAUAAGCACCGGCUAACUUCGUG
rnacentral:rRNA from 1 species